CCUACGGGAGGCAGCAGUGGGGAAUAUUGCACAAUGGGGGAAACCCUGAUGCAGCGACGCCGCGUGAGCGAUGAAGUAUUUCGGUAUGUAAAGCUCUAUCAGCAGGGAAGAAAAUGACGGUACCUGACUAAGAAGCCCCGGCUAACUACGUGCCAGCAGCCGCGGUAAUACGUAGGGGGCCAGCGUUAUCCGGAUUGACUGGGGGUAAAGGGGGCGUAGACGGGGAUGCAAGCCAGCUGUGAAAGCCCGGGGCUCAACCCCGGGACUGCAUUUGGAACUGGAUAGCUGGAGUGUCGGAGAGGCAGGCGGAAUUCGUAGUGUAGCGGUGAAAUGCGUAGAUAUUAGGAGGAACACCAGUGGCGAAGGCGGCCUGCUGGACGAUGACUGACGUUGAGGCUCGAAAGCGUGGGGAGCAAACAGGAUUAGAUACCCUAGUAGUC
rnacentral:rRNA from 1 species